rnacentral:ncRNA from 1 species
GUGUAGUUUGAAAGGAGAGCACGUUAGCACUCCCCAUAGACAAGGAUGGAAUCACAUAUAAAUAAUUCACAUAAACAAAAACAAGUAAAAAUAUUGUAGUCGGGCAAGACUCACUGCUUUAAUACCUUACAAUAUUUCGUUUAAUUUAUUUU